rfam:Blastomyces gilchristii SLH14081 genomic scaffold supercont1.83, whole genome shotgun sequence.
CUAGGCGUCUCUACCUAACACUAUCUACACAAGCAAAAUAGUAAUAGUUUGUUUGAAGCUGUAGAGACAAUGUAGCCUGUUUUAAAUAACAAUGUAAAUAUAUUAAAUAUAUUUUCAGGAGC